CUUGGUGUCCAAGGAGAGGCGGGUACACCCGAACCCAUUCCGAACUCGGAAGUUAAGCGCCUCAUCGCCCAUGAUACUGCGUAUAUUUGCGUGGGAAAGUAGGUCGACGCCAAGG
rnacentral:rRNA from 1 species